rnacentral:rRNA from 2 species
GACAUGAGCGAGCUUGAUGGAGCGACACAGCGUGCACGAUGAAGGUCUUCGGAUUGUAAAGUGCUGUUAUACGGGAAAGAACACUUGGUUGAGGAAAUGCUUCCAAGCUGACGGUACCCUGUCAGAAAGCGAUGGCUAACUAUGUGCCAGCAGCCGCGGUAAUACAUAGGUCGCAAGCGUUAUCCGGAAUUAUUGGGCGUAAAGCGUUCGUAGGCUGUUUAUUAAGUCUGGAGGUCAAAUACCAGGGCUCAACCCUGGCUCGCUUUGGAUACUGGUAAACUAAAGUUAGAUAGAGGUAAGCGGAUUCCAAUGUGAAGCGGUGAAAUGCCGUUAAUAAUAUGGAACAACACCAAAGGCGAAGGAGGUACCUUGGUCUAUACUGACCGCUGAGGUAUGAAGGCGUGGGAUCAAACUGAUAGAUUC